rnacentral:rRNA from 1 species
UACGUAGGGUGCAAGCGUUGUCCGGAAUUAUUGGGCGUAAAGAGCGUGUAGGCGGCCCGAUUAGUCCGCUGUGAAAGUCCAGGGCUCAACCCUGGAAUUCCGGUGGAUACUGUCGGGCUAGAGUCCGGAAGGGGCGAGUGGAAUUCCUGGUGUAGCGGUGAAAUGCGCAGAUAUCAGGAGGAACACCAAUGGCGAAGGCAGCUCGCUGGGACGGUACUGACGCUGAGACGCGAAAGCGCGGGGAGCAAACAGG